CAACAGAAAAACGUUAAAAAAAAAAAGGUUGUCUCAAGAGAAAAAAUCAUUCGACAACAUAGAUCAGAUUCAGUCGACGAUGGAUCAGACAACCUCUAUUUCGGAAUUGAAAGAUCCAGAGUAAGAUCCAUCAUCAAUUUGUCUUAAUGGAGUUCCCGAUGUCGUCUUCAAUUAAUAAGUGAGCGUUUCUUCUGAGCGCGGAAAUCUAUAAACGAAUAUGGGUAUUCUUUAUAAGGAACUCGAAUGACGAACAUUUAACCAAAGAUAAGUAACCCUAAACCCAUUUCUUUAUUUGUAAAUACCUAUGACUUAUCUAUCCAAAAACUCUAAUCUUUUUGUUUUUUGAUAUUACCAGUAUAUAUAUUAUACCAUCAUUCGUUAUUCUUCCACUUCUAUUCUUCUACUUCUAUUUUCAAUAAGGAAGUCUAGAGACAACAAUUGGAUUGAAGUUUGGCGUAAAACUUACCAUAUAGUUUUGGAUUUCUUUUUCCUUGCAAGUAGGGAAAUAUUUUUUCUCUAAUGGAUCCCUAAGCUUUUGAGUGGAGCUUCGAGAUAUAUAAUCGAAUUGAGUCUUCUUUCAAAGUCAGGAGAAGAAAUGAAGAACACUAAAUCAAAGAUAAGUAAACAAACCCUCUUAUCGAUUAGUAGAUGCCUCUACUACAAUCCUUUAAAACUCUAAUGUUACAUUUUACUUGGUCAGGGUACAAUUACUUAAUCAAAGACGAAAAUUGGGGAACAAAUGUGUUAAAGGUUGACUUAUAAGAAACAAGUAAUUUGGAUUUCUUUUCCCUUGCAAGUAGUUUUCGAAAAAAGAUAAGAUACUGAAUCUUUUUUUAGUUUUAUAAAUAUGUAUUUUUCUUUUAAAUCAACUCUAAUGUGAAACUGGUUUUAUUUUUGUCAGGGUAAUUCCUGUUACAGGGUUACAUAAGUUAAACUUUGAAAAUAGAAGUGGAAGAAUAACGAAUGAUGGUAUAAUAUAUAUACUGGUUGAAGUUCAUAAUAGAAAGAAAAUAACUGUAACACAGAACUGCUAUCACCAUACUGCAUGUUGAAGGUAAUUUGAUUAAGGUUGGUAUCUAUAUAUGCAUUCACUACAAUUAGCUUUUAAAUUUUUCUGUGUGUUGAAUGCAUUGACUUUUACAAAUUUAAGUGAUUAUAAAAAUUGUGUCUCAAUCAAAAAUAAUAAUAAUUGUGUUUAAUAAUUUAUGAUAAUGAAAGUACACUGCCGGUUGAAUCUGUAUCUAGAAACUAAAUAAAAAAUAAUAAAAUAAGCAAAAAAUUGUUUUAAUAGGAAGUAAAAAAUGAACCCAGUUACCAAUAGGAAGUCUAUUCACAUAUUUGUUUAGCAAUUUCUUCUUCACUGAUGCAUGAAUCUUUUUACUCUGCAAGAAUGAAAGACAUAAGAUGCAUUAGUAAUAGAAAAUAAUAGUAUGUUUCGUAAACGUAAACAGUAGAACUUACCAUCGAGUCUGACAAAACCAACUCAAGUGUUUCACCACCAUUUAGACGCCAUGAAUGGAUGACCUUCACUUGAACCCUCCAUGAGGUUUUCUAUGGGCGAACGUCUUUCAAGAAAGAAAAAGUAGCAGCCAUGAUGUGAGUGAUGUUUAGAUGUGUUUGCUUCUGUUUAAUUUUCGUUUAGGUGGGUAUUAUUUAUAGGGAAACCGAUUAGGUCAUUGAACACAUUUGUAAAGAUAUCAAAAAGAUAUGAUGAACCGAUAAUUAGAGAGAAAAUUUUGUUUUCUGUUUUUUUUAUGGAAUCUUUAGGGGACAUGUUAUAUUUAAAAUUUAUUUCUGUUUAAGUUGAUUGAUUUUGGAGUUGUGUAAUUGUUGGAGCAAAUUUUUGGAAAUCAAGCAGUUUAAACAGAAAUCUCGGAGAAGAUUGUAAGGCAAGAAAAAUUUUCUGCAUUUAAUUGUUGAAGAUAAACAGAUGGGGAAAAGAGUUUGUGGGUUAUGAAAAUUUCGUGACAGGAUGGGAUUGGCCCAAAUGUUUUUUGUAAUCGUGUAACCCAAUAUUAGUUUAUAAGCUAAUAAAGACAGUGGCAGAGUUGUAAAUAAGUUGGAAGUCCAUGAUUUAUUCUAUAAAUCUUUCUGAAAAUGUAUAUAUAGAUUAAUUAAUGGA